GAACUGAUACAACUCGAUUUCUCGGGAGACAAAUGACUCGCAUUACCAACUUAACCCAGUCUAACUGUAUGCUAUUCCAUCCAAGAGGUAUGUGAUGAGGGCCUGAAGAGGUGUUCUGCAUAUAACAGCCAUGCCUAUAGCGAAUUCAAUUCUCAUCUCGGAGCGG